UAUAUAUAUAUAAUAUUAUGUUCAUUUUGUGUUUAGUCAAAGCAGACGCUAAAGGCUGUUUUUAUUUAUUUUUAAUUAAUUUACUUAGCUCAUUGUUGGCAUACUUGCAAUAGACAUUCAUUUCAAUAAUUUGCCCUGUGUAGACACAUUUACCAUCAGUGAGAGUUUUUAAAAACCGUUCUCGAGUUAACAGUAACACAGUGCUACAGAAUCUCAAAGCUUCAGUUUGGACAUUUAUACAAGAUUUAAAGUACUACGAAACGCAAAUACAAGGGUGAUAUACACUCACUCACGUUGAGUAACCACUUUAUCCUGUUCAGGGUCAUGGAGCCUGACACACGCGGAGGAAACUCACUGGGACGAGGGGAGAACAUGCACAGAAACGCCGCACAGAUAGCAACCAGAUCUCAAGAUCGAACCUAGGACCCUUGACAUUACAAGCUAAUUAUAAAUUUCACGAUUAUAAUCAUGCACAUACAUUUUUGGAUAAUGAUUAUUAUGUACAGUACCAUUUAUACAGGGUCUCCUGUAGAGUCUCUAUAUACUUAGUUUAUAUUAUAUAUGUACAUUUUUUUCAGAUAGCCUUUAAGAACGCAUUUGACAAAAGAAGAACGUAUUGAAAUUAUUCUCACGGCUGGAUUGGAAGGUUGCGAUGGACUUUAACAAGAAACAUGGCGAGCACAUCACACACAACACUGUCGCCAAAUUUAUUAACAAAUUCAAAAAGACUGGGAGUGUUGAGGACCAACCGAGAAGAGGUGGACGUCUAUGAACAUCCACUGAGGAAGGCACAACCGAUGUGGUGCUGGCAUUUUGGGACACCCUGUAAAGUUGUUAAUUCAUAAAAGUUUUCAUUAUUUAAUUCCAACAUUAGUGUUUUGUAUUAUUUGUAGUUGGAACAUUGUAAUUUAACAGGAACCUCGAAAUAGGUUUUUGAUUAUGAGUAGCCAGUACAUUUUGACAGACCAGCAUUGAAGAAAAUAAUUGGCACUUCCUUUAUAAAGCGGUUGAUCUAUUUCUAAACUUCAGGAUUUGGAGAGCCCAGUUCAGAUCUCUUACUGGCCUAUAAUGAAGGUGAACUGGGCCAAAAUUUAGGUCAUUCUUUGGCCUACUACACAUCGUUAUUUUCAGUUUUGGGAAGUAACGCAUUACUGGAUAUUGUAAUCUCAUUACUAAAAACAGGUAAUUAUAAUUAGAAUAGGAUACACCUGAUAGGGUGCAACAUACUUAUAUAGAUAAAAUUUACAUAGAUUAAUUUAUAGACACCAUGAACUGAUUUGUAAUUUAUUUAAUGUGCCAAUAAACUGUAUAAUAUCUGACACUACAGGCAAGUUCUUCAGUCAUUAGUUACAUGAGGUUUCUUGCAGCAGAUCUAGUUAGCGUGUAUAAUUGUUAAUAGUAAAUGGCAGUGUGUAAUACCUGGAUAAGUCUUUGUGUGCACAUAUCCAGAUCUUCCAUAAAAGGUAGUAAUACAGUAACUACUGUCAUCAUACAGCAAUCAUCCCCUAAAAAGUUUUCAUUGAGUUGGCACAGAUUUCAAAUGAACAUGAUCCUUGGCAGUUAUCCAGGGUUCACAGAACCACAGUUACAUAAGUAACUAGUGUUGUAUUUAACUCCUCCUAAUUAGGAGGCUGUAUAACAUAUACCAACAUGCAGAACAGGAGUCACUAUAGGACGUCCCCCAACAGAUGAGUAAGGACUCGUCCAUAUUUUCAAAUUAAAAUUCAAGAAAGUCUUAUAAUUCAAACAGAAAUCACGGCAUCAGUAUGUGGCUGCUUGCAAGUUGAUGUACGGCAUCCUCGAGAUGCGCUCGUUGCUGAUUUGCUGCAUGUAAAUUCAACGGACAGUUUAUAUGUCUGGAUUCAGCUUUGCAAAAACAUAUCUCAACCUAAGCCAAAACAACAUAGGACCAUCAUUGUCACUGAAUUAUGGAGUAUCCAUUUCAUUGCUCACACGUUGUUAUGCAGCAACACAUCGCUAUGUAAGUUCUAGGAGGAGACAGACCUUGUAGAGGGGCAUGCCACUGUAAGUUUUGGGCACCCAGCUCAUCUAUAUGCCAGGUUUGAUGAUGUCUGCCACCCUAUGUCUUUAGUGUAGAUGGAGACUUGCUGCUGAUGGAAAGUAAGGAUCCUAGGUCUUGGGCAAUGAAUCAAGUCUGAACACCAUUUGCAGAGCAGCUUCUACUCGACGCAUACAAUGGAAAUUUAGUCCAAGGGGCCAGACAUCAGACACAGGUGACCUGUUCGGCAUUCAUUUGAGAGAGCAGAUCUGUUCAGAGAAGUAUGCACCAGGUUGUUCUGACAACUAGUGACAUGAGCAUUGGGAACCAUGGCUACACACAGGACUGGGGCCUAGUUGCUGAAUCCUGUACAGUUUCGGAGCAAUCAGCAGUAAAGUACAUAACAUGUGGUGAAGCCAGUUGUGGGUCAGGGAAUCCUGUCCUAGCAGACUGUGUGCCUCUGCCAGAGCGAACCACAAAUGGCAUAAAUAUGUUGAUAUGGCACUGGUGAAAAGGUCCACUGCACCUCAGCAACCCUCUCCCAGAUCUUGGCUACCAUCUCGGGUCCACCAUACUAUUGUGGCACCCAGAGAACAAGUCGCUCUCAGUGAGGCCAGUCUUGAUUGUAACGUGCCCCAGUGCCAGCCCCUAACCUUCAGGGGCAUACUCCGCAACAUUAUUUAGUGGUGGGUGAGUAUUAUCUAGGGCAUCCUUCAUGGAGUAGACAAGGGAGCGGGCCUCUUGUAGGCAUUAGGACAUGGAGUCAGGGUGUGGUGUCCUAAAGGUGCCAUGUGAACAGUCCAUUUGGCUAUGUUGGUUUUGUGAUUUCGAAACCUCUUUAAUGGCAGGUCCAAAGAAGGACACAACGAUGGAAUGCAGAUUCCACAGGGCUGACACUGCUCCUGACCACCAACCCGACAUCCCCCCGAGGCCCAGCGCAUAAACCAUGUUAACAGACAGUUGCCCCAUAUCCUGGCCCAGGCUAAAGGAUGCUAUGGAGCCCUGUAGUGUUCCAUGAAAAAUGCUCAUUACAUGAAAGAAAGCACUAUCAUCAAAGUAGAAAGAAAUGAGAGGAACCUUUGACAGACACAACACCUGUGGUAACAAGCUGCUAAGCGAAUAGCUCCAUAUUGUGUACAGGUAGUCACAACACGUGCACUGGCGAGAAGGAGUAAAGGAGUGAUUGCUGUAUAGUUGAGGUAUAUACUGCAUCAUAUGUCACUAUGUGAGACUUUGUUGGAAGAUCUUGGCAUGUAUCGCAUACACGCAAGGAAAAUAGAGGUGAAAUAGAAUAAAACAUAUACAGAUGUUGGCCACACAUUCAGUGUACAUUAGCAAAGAUUCUUCAACUCUCUGGAACUGUACGGUACUUACAUCUGUAAAUUUCAAGCUAAGAUUCAUCAAUUAACUUACAGUGAAACAUGCAGUUUGCUAUAUAAUCUUUUAUAUUUUCUCUCUCUGCUCUUAUCUUGAAGGAUUAUAUUAGUUCAUAAUGCAUUAUAUUAGUAAUUGCCAAUAAAAGUACUUUUUACUUUUGUUUUUGUAUAUUUCAUUCUCCAUUGUUAAUGCACAAGGCGUUUUGUUUGUGGUUAUUUUUAAUAAUAGAAGAAUAAACCGAUAUAAUGUUAAAAGAUCUAAAUAAUUUCAUAUUUAGUCAUUUAAUUUGUACUGGGUCAAAUACACUCAGUCAGAUAGUUAGAAAACAGAGAAGAAGAAGCCUUUAUUUGUCACAUUACAGUGAAAUUUACAAUGAAAUAUACAUUAACGUGAAUUUUAUUUUUCUAUACCCCAGUUUGUUAAGAAGCUGGGGUGAGCCAUGACACAGCACCCCUGGAGCAGAUAAGGUUAAGAACCUUGAUCAAGGGUCCAACACUGGCAGCUCGGCAAUGCCCAAACCUUCAGAUCAGUAACCGGGACCCUUAACUGUUAAGCCGCCACCACCACCACCUUAAAAUGCUCAGACAGGGUUUGAACCCAUGAGCUUUGGUUUACAAGACCAACACCUUAUCACCUGGCUAUUUGAUAUUUAUUAAGCAAAAUAAUUUCUUAGACUUCCUUAGACCACGACUCCCAUACUUACAUUAUUUACCACAUUUUGUAUAAAGCUCUCUGAAGAAUUAUUCAGAUCUAAACUGUAAGUAAAAGUAAAACCUCAUUUUGUCAUAGUAGCAAUUUAACGGUGGUUAUAACAGUACAAACCAUUUAAUGUAACUUGCUUUUAGUUAAACUUAUUCAUUUAAAUUUAUGCACAGAAUUAGAAAACUAACGGUGUAUAUGUCUGUAUAUUUAGGGUUAAAAUAUAUUAGAGCCCACGGUUCAUACACUUUCCUUUGUACAAUGGUCUCCACAGAUUACAUCAGAAUGUUUAUUUCUAGCUCAAAUAAUCCAAAUGCUCCUUAUUAAAUUCCAGAUUUUAUAUCACUUGUCCAAACUAACUUUGGAGAUCAGUCAGUAUCCUUAAUUACCUUCACACAAAAAGAUUCAGUUUCAGUAGUUGGAUCUAAUUUUAUAGUUCCACAUGUAUUUUUCAGCAAUAAAGGUUUAAAGAAAUGUGCCUGUCUACUUAAUAAACACUCAGGACUGUAUUUUAUCAUUGCAACGGGAAAUAAUGAGGAGACUUUAUUUCAAGUUUGUCAGCUGAAAAUAGUUGGCGCAGACCCAGUCAGCCAAAUGAGUUCCUGGGCUGAGUAGCUGUUAUAUAAUAAAUAUAACGAAUACCAGUCAGCUGAGUCAAAAAUAUCAGUACUAUCAUAUAAAUGUGUGAAAGGUAACUGGAAAAUUCUCACAGUGUGGCAAGUUAAAACAAAACUCUCCCAUCCAAAUGUCAAGUAAGAUUCUUGGAAUCGCAUCAUGUUUACAACUAGGACACAACCUCACAAAUGUGCCUGAAAGUGGCAGUAAAGUCUAUCUGGUGGAUCAAACAUCACAAGGUUAAUAAAAACUUGUUUACUUGAUUAGAAGUGGUUUAAAAGCAAUGCACCUUGUUAGUUACCUGCUUAAGGUCUGAUUUUCCCCCAAAAACUGUUUUUCCCCUAAAAACAUUUCCACUGUCAUGGUGCUAGUUAAUACUACAAGCAUUAAAACUCCUGGCAAAACAGGAUAUUCCCAUGUCAUGUAAUAGCUAUCAUGUUAGUUUGCUUAUUUAUUGUAAAAGACUGUAAAUUGUCUAAUCAUACUGUCCUCUUGUCAGUUAUAGCUGUGGGCAAUAGCACAUAAUUACGCAUGACAAGUGUAAAUGACCUGGGCAUUCUGUCAAGUCUCUCUCCAUUUUGCAUGGAGCUGUGAAUUUCCUGUGCCUGGAAUACCUUAAUCUAUUCCCUCCAUGCACACUGGCCUUAGUUAAAAAGCCAUCUGUAUAUCCUUUGGUGCAAACUGUAGAGACAUAAAAGUAAGGAUGAUGUACUUAGAGAUGCGGAUAGAUGAAAGCAUUACAAUUUAGCCAACUUAGCAGAUGGAGCUCCCAGAAGGCAUUACAGUUAAAACCACACAGUGAUACACCCAAGCUGUAAGCAACUAACCUGGGGACUCAACCCACCACAACAAAAACAAUGUUUGAUGAGAAAAAAAUAGGGAGGUUUUGUGUGAACACAAAAUGCCCUUUCUAUCUGUAGCCUUAUUAAUGUUCGAUUAGUAAAGUUAAAAACAAUAAUAAUAAAUUAGGCUUGCUCCAUAUCACAUGCUUAAUUCCACCUUAAAUGUCCUGCAUUAUUUCUCUUCUGAAAGUCACACAGAUAAAUCCUUGUUUGAAAAUAUUUAUAUAAUUUUAGUAACAUGGUCUAACAAUUGCAUGUUAAUAAUUAAUUUCCUCAUUUGUAAGUCGCUUUGGAUAAAAGCGUCUGCUAAAUGAAUAAAUGUAUAAUGUACAUGUAAUAAAUAUCCAAGGAUGUAAUGAUACACACAAUUUAAGUUCGAUACAAUACUAUAGUCAUUUUAACAAAUGGCCUGAGACUCAGCUACCAACUGACUGACCAAUAGUCAGUCCAUGUAGGAUUUACCUGAGUUUUUGCGAUCGCAAAAUCCUAGAGGUACUGAAUAGUAUGACUCUACCUCACUCAACAAGUGCAAUAUUAUUAUGUGCAAUAACUGCAUAUAGAUUUAUUCACGUAAUACUUAUACAAUGUUAAUAAAUUAUACCACUGUCGAAUGUAGAAUUGCCUUUUUUUAGCUGUACGUAUCAUCAUCUUCCCACUGCUACUACACUUUAUAUAUAUUUCCUAUUUAUCUGACUUGCUUGUUUUAUUUACAACCCCAAUGAAAAAGUUGGGACAGUAUGGAAAAUGCUAAUAAUGUAAAGAGGAAUGAUUUGUAAAUGUACUUUGACUUGCAUUUAAAUAAAAAAAACGUAUUAAGACAAGGUAUUUGAUAUUUUACCUAAUCAACUGCAUAGUUUUUUUUUAAGGUAAACGUUUAUUUUGAAAUUAUGCAUGGAGCACGUUCCAAAACAGUUGGGACAGGGGCAAUUUAGGACUAAUAGUGAUGUGACAGGUUGAAAUAAGAAGGUGAUGUGAAACAGGUGAGGCAAUCAUCUAAUCAUAGUAUAUAAGGAGCCUCCAGAAAAGGUCUAGUCCUUCAAGAGCAAGAAUGGGUCGAGGCUCACCAAUCUCCCAACAGAUGCAUCAGCGAAUAAUCCAACACUUUGAGAAAAACAUUCCCCAAAGACAAAUUGGUAGGAUUUUGGGCAUUUCAUCAUCUACAGUGCACAAUAUAAUUAAAAGAUUCAAGGAACCCGGUCAAAUCUCGGUGCAUAAAGGGCAAGGCCAAAAACCACUUCUGAAUGCGUGUGAUCUCCGAUCCCUCAGAUGUCACUGUCUUAAAAAACUGUCAUGAGUCUGUAAUGGAUAUCCUGACAUGGGCUCCUGAAUAAAUUGGUAAACCUUUGUCAAUCAACACCAUUCGCCGCUGCAUCCACAGAUGCAAGUUAAGGCUUUACUAUCCAAAGCAGAAGCCAUACAUCAACACUGUCCAGAAGUGCUGCCGACUUCUCUGGGCUCGGUCUCAUCUGAGAUGGACAGUAGCACAGUGGAAAUGUGUUUUGUGGUCCGACGAGUCAACAUUUCAAAUAGUUUUUGGACAAAACAGCCGUCGUGUCCUCCAGGCCAAAGAGGAAAAGGACCAUCCAAGUUGUUAACAGCAUCAGGUACAAAAGUCAGUGUCUAUUAUGGGUAACUUCCACAUCUGUGAGGGCAGUAUUAAUGUAGAAAGAUAUAUACACAUUUUGGAGCAACAUAUGCUGCCAUCCAGAGCAGGAUAAUGCCAAACCACAUUCUGCCUGGAUUACCAGCACAUGGUUGCGUAAGCAGAGAGUGCGGGUGCUAGCAUGGCCUGCCUGUAGUCCUGACCUGUCUCUGAUUGAAAAUGUGUGGCGCAUUAUGAAGCGCAAAAUAAGGCAACGAAGGCCCCUUACAGUUGAGCAGCUGAAGAAAUGCAAAAUGGAUGAAUGGGGGAAAAUUACGCUUGCUAAACUUAGCCAACUGAUGUCUUCACUCAGUGUCCAAACGCUUAAUAAGUGUUAUUAAAAGAAAAGCUGAUGUUACACAGUGGUAAACAAUUGACUGUCCCAAUUUUUUUGGAGUAUGUUGCAUUCAUCAGAUUUGAAAUGAGUGUAUAUUUUCAAAAAUAAACUAAAUUCACAAAUUAAAACAUCAAAUAAUGUGUUAAUAAUGUAUUUUUCAAUAUAGCACAGGGUUAAUUGAAUUUUCAAAUGACUCUUUUUGUUUGUUUUUUCCCAUACCAUCCCAACUUUUUCAGAAUUGGGGUUGUAUAAAUAUUUAUUUAUUUUGUUUGAUUCUGGGUAAUCCUAUGGUAUUAUCGUCUGCGUUAAUUGUCCGUAUUUACUGUUGUCUUUCAGUCAUUGUCACUGUCUAUUAUAGGUUGCAUGGUAGUCUACUGAAAGAACUGUUUCGUUUUUAUCCAUUGCCAUGUGGUAUACUAAACAUGACAAUAAAGCUGACUUUGACAUUGAUACGGUGGUGUGUCGAUAUACCUUUUUAUUAAUAGCACAAAUAAGCAUUGUCUGAAUAUGCACCUUAGGUUUACCUUUUCAGUAGGUUAAAACAUUUGAUAUUAUAAAAGUAUACCAGUUGAAACUUAAUAAUAAUAGUGUUUGUGUGUUCCAUUCAGACUCAAAAUACCAAAACAGCAACCAAAAGCUGUGCAUUAGAAUGUAAAGAAAUGAAACAUGUCUAAUUAAACAUUAGCUCUCUGAUAGGGUCAUGAUAGGUUAUGCACACUUGUGACAAGUCUCAGCGAAUUUUUCACUUCAACUACAUCUCAAAAACUGCACAAAAAGACCUGAAACUAGCCCAAAAAAUCAGGACUAGGAAAAGAGUCACAUUUGUUACAACCCUUUUAUUUACAAAACCCAACAAUGUUACAGUUGGUUGAGGUUAUGUUAAAGAGUGAUUUUUAACGUUUCUUACUUUCUUUAUAUGAAAUCCAAGGAAAUUGUUCUGUCACGAUCCCUGCCAAUUUCUCUUGGAUUUCAGAGGCAUUUCAAAACCAAUUUUAGGAGAUCCAAUUACUGGGACAACUACUACAUUUCUUUUCUUAUCAGCAAGUGAAAUUACACUGUUGAUAACAUUUUCAGGCUAAGCAAAGGACCCUAAACUUAGGUAUAGUCUAGAUGAUAGCUUGAAGGAUAUUCAAUCUGUGCCCUAAGUCAUCUCUGAACUAUCACCAAGGGGCUCAAUCAUUGUUGCCUUGAAUGCCAUACAUCAUAACCCAAGCAUACCAAACAUAUAUAGCCUGUAAUGGUUACCAGUGAUUCUUCCAGUAAGCCUGAAGCACUAUCGUAGCAAUAAAGUCAUCUCCAGGUCAUCUAUACUGGAUCUGGAGUUUAACAGAAUGUGGUCUGCUAUAAAUUUGACAUUUUAAUUUAACUUAAAAAAAUUACCACAAUGCCUCACCUUUUCACUUUAGAGCUAGCUUCAACCAGAAACCAACACAUUAAAGUAGGCUGGAGAUUAGUGCAAGAGCAAUAAGGAUUUUUAGGGGCAUUAUGAUGGUGAAACUGAAACACAAGUGCCCCCAAAAGCCCCUCAUUCUCCCUGCGGCAUUACAUUUACACCAAUGCUGUUACCAAUGUCGUUACAGCUAUACUGUAUAGUGGCCUUCUAUGGCUUAUUUGGCUCAUGUUUUUAUUGUCGUUGCAAUCGAGAAUGAUGAUUUCGAUGAUUUAGGAGCAAGUUCUGAAAAAUUUGGCUAUAUCACAAGAAAAAAUGUAAUGCUGAAGCUUGUGGCUAUAUGCUUGGAUUGUAUUCUGCUUUGUUUGUCAAUUAAAUGUGACUAAACGUAUCUACCUGUGGAGUGAUUUCAGGAAAAUUGGGAUACUUAAAUUUAGCAGCAUUUAUUUUCUUGCCUUAAAAAUAAAAGUCAAAACCUAUGUUAUGAAGCUUUUUCAGUGGAAGUGCCUGAUAAAAAUAAAUAAAACACUUUUUUUUCCUCUUAAUUCAUGUAACAUAAUAUAAGGGGGUGUGGUCAACAUUAAAAUGACAUACGCUUUGUCUAGUGUACUUAAUAAGGUAAUAAAAUAAUCUUGAAUAAUUUAUUCCACAUAUUUAUGAUGCAUAUAUACACAAGAUCAACUAUUGUGUAUUACAAAACAUACAUGAUGUCAGUUCAAAUCAUGUACCGACUUACAAAACUUAAAAUUCAAUAAGUGGAGAGAGAUAAACUGAAAGGAUAUAAUCCUUUGCAUGAAGUGACGCAUGGCACACCCUACAAUUAUGUAGACUGAUAUACUGAUAGGUUUCUCAUGCAUUAAAUUGUGUUUUUAUGAAGCAUAUUAAGAAUCAGGAGAAUAAGAUAGACUGGGAAAUACAAAAUAUUACUUAGGCCUUAUAUUUAGUAUGCAUAUAUUUUUACUUACUGAACUGUAUUCAUAUAAUUUUAGAGACUGACGCUGAUAUUUAUUUUUUAAUCAUGGGUUAUGCUUCUACUGCAAGAAAUUACUUAUUAACUGUUGCUUUAUAGUGUUUUUUUUUUUUUUUUUUUUUUUGUCCUACUGUGAUAAUAACUUAAUUUUUUCACAAUCAAUUUUAGAAAACAUUGGUUAUAAAUUUGGAAAAUAUUAAUAUAAGAUUUUACUAAAAUCUGUUAUUGUUGUUCUUACAUUAAGAAAUGACAUCUUAAUACGUACUCAAUUGUACUCAGUCUAUUAUGUUCAAAGAACAUGCAAAUAUGUUGAUUAUGGAUACAUUUGUAUAAGAUAACUUUACAAGUUUUAUUAAUGAAAUGUGAUUUAAUAAUACACUAAUAAAAAGCUACAAAUAAAGAAUGUAAUGCAAUGAAAAGCCUACACGAAUAAAAACGUGUCCCAAAUUCCCAAAUAUGUCAUUAAAAAUGGUUCAGUCAGCCUUGACAAAACAAUAAGCCAUGCUUCUUCUGAAUAUUAUAUAAACUUUUUCCCCUCCAUAGUCAACACUUUGAGAAUGUCAGAAAUACAUCAUGUGUUGGCGUAUUUGUUUUGCUAAAGGCAAGAAAGCUUUGACAAGUUGGGAAAAAAGUGUCCCAAAUUCAUAUAUCUGAAUUCAUUUUUAAUCUAAUGACAUGCAAGUCAAAAAUGGAAUAUCACAGCAAGUUGAUGUAGCUUAACGUCACAACCUUCACUUCAAUAUCAGCUUGCUGAACAAACGACAUAUUCGCUAUGAAACAAGGCAGAACCAUGAUUCCAUGGUGAAGAGAGCUGAACCGUCGCGCGCUCGGAGCAGAGGAGAUGAGUCCCUGUGAG
ensembl:lncRNA